rnacentral:lncRNA from 1 species
AAUAAAUAAAACAGGGUAGAAAGAUGACUUAAUGGUUACAGGACAACUCAGGAGACAGUAAGCCAACCCUUGCUCCUUCCACUGAAACAUAAAUAGGAAUAGUUCCUAUCCCUCCGUUGAUCUGUAAUGUAAUGGGAGUCGAGUUAGUCUCUCAUUACGCUUUUGGACAGCGUCUAGGAGAGUGAAACCUCAGUCAUGGCAAAACACUUCUGGAAUCCAAGCGAAGACGAUGUCAUGGAAACUUGGAUCUGGAUGAUCCAAAACAUUCCACCAGCCUUGCAGUGGAAGGCCGUGGAGAUACUGCAUGACACAACCAAAUUCUUCAUGGAUGCUUCAACUGGAGACUCAUGAAACCACAAGUCUCCAAUUUCAUGUGUCCAACUUUGCCCAACGUGCUGCAUGACUGAGCAGAGGCCUGAAUUGCAUGCAGAGAACAAUAGAGGUUUCCUGGAUAUCUCUUCUGGGUCUGUGUCUCAUCUUGCCCAGCUCUGUGCCACCACGCAGGAGAUGCAGUUGCACCCAUGUGCCCCUGCACAGGGACAUGAGGACUGAGGGGAAUUGCUUCAUCCACCCCUCCUACUGAGUCCUCCGGCUGUGAGAGGCCUGGACCUACUCUGCCUUCCAGGAAAGAGAGAGGGGGAAACCAUUUCAGUGUAUCCUGCUUGGUGGAAAUUUAAUGUGUUCAAAGAAGCCUGCAGGAACGGUGAUCUGGAGUGGCCUGUUAGGAUGCGGUUGGAGGACAGAAUUAGACCUAUACCCGUCUCACAGCAGCUGCCUGACAGAGAGGGGCAAGGGUUAGCCCAGGACUCCAAAAUAUUAUUUGGCACUUGGUGAAUGUGAGAUA